rnacentral:rRNA from 1 species
GACGAACGCUGGCGGCGUGCUUAACACAUGCAAGUCGAACGGAAAGGCCCUGCUUUUGUGGGGUGCUCGAGUGGCGAACGGGUGAGUAACACGUGAGUAACCUGCCCUUGACUUUGGGAUAACUUCAGGAAACUGGGGCUAAUACCGGAUAGGAGCUCCUGCUGCAUGGUGGGGGUUGGAAAGUUUCGGCGGUUGAGGAUGGACUCGCGGCUUAUCAGCUUGUUGGUGGGGUAGUGGCUUACCAAGGCUUUGACGGGUAGCCGGCCUGAGAGGGUGACCGGCCACAUUGGGACUGAGAUACGGCCCAGACUCCUACGGGAGGCAGCAGUGGGGAAUAUUGCACAAUGGGCGGAAGCCUGAUGCAGCAACGCCGCGUGCGGGAUGACGGCCUUCGGGUGGUAAACCGCUUUCGCCUGUGACGAAGCGUGAGUGACGGUAAUGGGUAAAGAAGCACCGGCUAACUACGU